UUUAUUAGAAGAGACGCAUUUWUUAGAUAAAAAGCCAAUGCAUGCUUUUACAGUAUGGAAAUUGGUGAUUUAUAAUAACUURGCAAAUCGCAAAGUGAAAACAGGCGAUAAAUCAUUCAAGUUUCUGACCUAUCAGCUUUCGACGGUAUGGUAUUGGCUUACCGUGGCAGUGACGGUUAACGGGGGAUUAGGGUUCGAUUCCGGAGAGGGAGCCUGAGAAACGGCUACCACAUCUAAGGAAGGCAGCAGGCGCGCAAAUUACCCAAUUCUAACAGUUUGAGAGAGGUAGUAACAAGAAAUAACAAUACAAGGCAAUUAAAAUGCUUUGUAAUUGGAAUGAUAGAAAUUUAAACCCUUUUUAAAGUAUCAAUUGGAGGGCAAGUCUGGUGCCAGCAGCCGCGGUAAUUCCAGCUCCAAUAGCGUAUAUUAAAAUUGUUGCAGUUAAAAAGCUCGUAGUUGAAGUUCUGCUAAAAGUAACCGGUCUGCUUUUAAUAAAAGUGGUAUCUUGGUGUGUAUUUAGCAAUGAUGUCCUUUGAAGUGUUUUUUACUUUAUUGUAAUAAAGCAUAUUCAGGACUUUUACUUUGAGAAAAUUAGAGUGUUUCUAGCAGGCCGACGCUUUGAAUA
rnacentral:rRNA from 1 species